UACAUGGGGUGCAAACGUUGCUCGGAAUUAUUGGGCGUAAAGCGCGCGUAGGCGGUUACUCACGUCGGAUGUGAAAGCCCUCGGCUUAACUGAGGAAGUGCACCCGAAACUGAGUAGCUAGAGUACCAAAGAGGGUCGCGGAAUUCCCGGUGUAGAGGUGAAAUUCGUAGAUAUCGGGAGGAACACCGGUGGCGAAGGCGGCGACCUGGGUGGAUACUGACGCUGAGGCGCGAAAGCGUGGGGAGCAAACAGG
rnacentral:rRNA from 1 species